rnacentral:lncRNA from 7 species
AAUCUCUGGUUGGAAAUUCCUUCUUUGUGGGGUCUUUCUUGUGAACCUAGAAUUUCAGAGACAGGCUUUGUGCAUGGGAAAUGCUGACUCAUGGCUUGAAGCAGUGAUUGAGCACCUGGCGAGAAGGCAGGGCCAGCCCAGGAGAGCUCAGGUGCAUGGAAUGCACCUAAGCGAUGAGAAGGAGUGGAUCCAGGAUCUACCUCUUCCCAGACCUCAUUUAAAGGUUGGCAGUGGAGACAAAAGCAUCUUGUCGAGUGAUCUCUGCCUACCUAAGGACUGUAUGUGCCUUCCUAAGCAAUUAUGUUUCUUGACUGUCCUGGGAAGCUCUAGAGCCUUCAGUGAGGAACAGGGAACAGAAGCUGCCUGGGGAAUCCUUUGACUGGUGAAUACCUGCUGCUGCAGAGAGGAUCUCAAACGUACACCACUCAUAAAUCCCAGGAUAAAAUCAAACAGGACUCUGGAGCAAGAAAACGAAGUCAUUUAGACAACAAAGACAUUUUGGGAACGAGGAAAACUGAUGAACCCAGAUGAGCUUGUCUCUGUCGGAUAGUGAUAAGGAAAUACAGAAUGUGUUUGGUGGCCAGGAAGAAGUCUGUAUGUAACUGAAGUCCUUUACCUAUGUGUGUCACAGAAAGAGUCAGCAUGUUACGUGUGUGGAGUUUCUGCUUAAGAAUAAGUGAAUUUCAUUUCUCCUUUGAAUUUCAUACAUAAAAGUGCAUGGCCAGAUGUCACCCAGGGUUACCUCAUGCCUUGCAUGUACCAUUGUAGAUGUCUGAUAAAAUACAGAGAAUGAAGGAAUUAUGUGAAAUGAUAAUGGAUAGAAAAUAAACAAAUUAAAAGUUGUAAUUUUUUAAGGCUGAAUCAUUUGUUCUCUAAUGAUAUUUCUUGAGCUUUAAUAUUAAAUCCUGUUGAAAGAGUUCUGGGAGAAUUAAAAUACAUUCGUAAAAUAGUUCUGGUUACUUCUGACACAAGUUUUUUUAGGGAAAUAAUUCUUCUUGUGAGUAAUUGCAGACUUUAGUCCAGCAAAUCAGAGAAAAAUGAGAUGCUUACAUAAAAAGGCAAUUCAUGCUAAUGGGGCUGUUUAACAGGUAUGUGAACUACCUGAGUCUUGUUCUGUUUUGAUCUCAUAAAAGGUAGUGAGUCCUAAAGUUAUGUUGUUUAUUAUAAUUUGGGGAUGUACUAACGACAGGUAACAUCAUUAACUUCAGCCCGAGGCGGCUAUAUAUUCUGCUAUGCAGGCAUAGGAUUUUGCCUUUUACUGCCUUAUUGAAUAAUACAAAGUGCGAUUGUGGUGAUCACUUGCCAAAAAAACUUGCAUGGUAGGCAUGUGCUUUUUUAUUUAUUUAUCUUCUUCAAGCUAAAAUUGCCAUCUUAACUUUAGUAGGACUUGUUAUGCAUGUAGCCUCUGCCUGCUUCUAAAUGUGCAGAUUGCUGCAAAUAAAGAUCCAUUUUUGC